GACGAACGCUGGCGGCGUGCUUAACACAUGCAAGUCGAACGGAAAGGCCCUGCUUUUGUGGGGUGCUCGAGUGGCGAACGGGUGAGUAGCACGUGAGUAACCUGCCCUUGACUUUGGGAUAACUUCAGGAAACUGGGGCUAAUACCGGAUAGGAGCUCCUGCUGCAUGGUGGGGGUUGGAAAGUUUCGGCGGUUGGGGAUGGACUCGCGGCUUAUCAGCUUGUUGGUGGGGUAGUGGCUUACCAAGGCAUUGACGGGUAGCCGGCCUGAGAGGGUGACCGGGCACAAUGGGACUGCGAGACGCAGCAGAGGGCUAUGGGAGGCAGUAGUGGGAAGCCUGGCACAACGAGCGGGAGUCGGUGACGGAGGCGUUGCGUUCGGAAUGACCUUCUUCGGGGUAAGAACAGCUUUCGCCUGUGACGAAGCGUGAGUGACGGUAAUGGGUAAAGAAGCACCGGCUAACUACGUG
rnacentral:rRNA from 1 species